UGACAGUUUUGCCACUGGCUGAGAAGGACAAGACAGGAGUAACCCAGAGGCAAAGAAAAGGGAAGAGCAGCAGAGGCGAGCACUGAGGCACUUCUUUACCACCUCCCCCCCUCUCUCUAAAACAGCAAAUGGGAGAUGGAGUGUGAGGACAAUGGCCCCAUCUACACAUGCUGUAAAUUCCAGAAAUAUGGAUUAUAA
rnacentral:lncRNA from 11 species